GACGAACGCUGGCGGCGUGCUUAACACAUGCAAGUCGAGCGGUAAGGCCCUUUCGGGGGUACACGAGCGGCGAACGGGUGAGUAACACGUGGGUGACCUGCCCUCAGCUCUGGGAUAAGCCUGGGAAACUGGGUCUAAUACUGGAUAUGACUCACGGUGCAUGUCGUGGGGUGGAAAGCCUUGUGCGGCUGAGGAUGGGCCCGCGGCCUAUCAGCUUGUUGGUGGGGUGAUGGCCUACCAAGGCGACGACGGGUAGCCGGCCUGAGAGGGCGACCGGCCACACUGGGACUGAGACACGGUCCAGACUCCUACGGGAGGCAGCAGUGGGGAAUCUUGCGCAAUGGGCGAAAGCCUGACGCAGCGACGCCGCGUGGGGAUGAA
rnacentral:rRNA from 1 species